AUUGAACGCUGGCGGCAUGCCUUACACAUGCAAGUCGAACGGCAGCACGGGAGCAAUCCUGGUGGCGAGUGGCGAACGGGUGAGUAAUAUAUCGGAACGUGCCCAGUAGUGGGGGAUAACUGCUCGAAAGAGCAGCUAAUACCGCAUACGACCUGAGGGUGAAAGCGGGGGCUCGCAAGACCUCGCGCUAUUGUAGCGGCCGAUAUCAGAUUAGCUAGUUGGUGAGGUAAGGGCUCACCAAGGCGACGAUCUGUAGCUGGUCUGAGAGGACGACCAGCCACACUGGGACUGAGACACGGCCCAGACUCCUACGGGAGGCAGCAGUGGGGAAUUUUGGACAAUGGGCGCAAGCCUGAUCCAGCCAUGCCGCGUGCGGGAAGAAGGCCUUCGGGUUGUAAACCGCUUUUGUCAGGGAAGAAACGGCUCCUACUAAUACUGGGGGCUAAUGACGGUACCUGAAGAAUAAGCACCGGCUAACUACGUGCCAGCCGCCGCCGUAA
rnacentral:rRNA from 1 species